UCUCCGUUGGUGAACCAGCGGAGGGAUCAUUACUGAGUUUACGCUCUAUAACCCUUUGUGAACAUACCUACAACUGUUGCUUCGGCGGGUAGGGUCUCCGCGACCCUCCCGGCCUCCCGCCUCCGGGCGGGUCGGCGCCCGCCGGAGGAUAACCAAACUCUGAUUUAACGACGUUUCUUCUGAGUGGUACAAGCAAAUAAUCAAAACUUUUAACAACGGAUCUCUUGGUUCUGGCAUCGAUGAAGAACGCAGC
rnacentral:misc_RNA from 1 species